rnacentral:rRNA from 1 species
CCUACGGGAGGCAGCAGUGGGGAAUAUUGCACAAUGGGGGAAACCCUGAUGCAGCGACGCCGCGUGAGUGAAGAAGUAUUUCGUUAUGUAAAGCUCUAUCAGCAGGGAAGAAAAUGACGGUACCUGAGUAAGAAGCCCCGGCUAACUACGUGCCCGCAGCCGCGGUAAUACGUAGGGGGCAAGCGUUAUCCGGAUUUACUGGGUGUAAAGGGAGCGUAGACGGCAGUGCAAGUCUGGAGUGAAAGGCCGGGGCUCAACCCCCGGACUGCGCUGGAAACUGUACGGCUAGAGUGCAGGAGAGGCAAGUGGAAUUCCUAGUGUAGCGGUGAAAUGCGUAGAUAUUAGGAGGAACACCAGUGGCGAAGGCGGCCUGCUGGACUGUAACUGACGUUGAGGCUCGAAAGCGUGGGGAGCAAACAGGAUUAGAUACCCUUGUAGUC